rnacentral:lncRNA from 1 species
CUUGCCUGAUUGUUUAUUUGCAGAUUUAUCUCAUAGUAAGAGAGAAUUCUUUGAAAUUCUGUCUUUUGUUACGCCACUAAGGGAGUGGUGAGUGUGUGGAGAUAGUGCUUCACGUCUGUGCCCACUAGAAGAAUGAUUCCAGGUACUGGAGACCCUAAUACCCUCUUCAGUGGCCUGGAGAGUUGAUGGCCAAGGGAUCAUAGCCACUCAGUGGGAAGUCAAGAUUCUAUUUCAUUCCUUUUCCCGAACUAGCACUUGUAUCUCAGUAGGAGCUCUGUUAAUGAAUCAAUUAAGGAGGGUAUUAUUAUUGGAAGCUGUUUUCAGACCAAUUAAGACCUUUCGACAUGUCAGUUGCAAUAAUAAAAGUGAGUUAAGUCUCAAUUUUUCUUUAUUAGGGUGUUUAUUAGAAGAUUGAAAUGUUCAUUACUUGGAAUAAAGUGAUACAUCCAUCUUCUGCUCAUCAGAAGCACAAUGGAAACUCUGUUGUACUCAGGGCUAAUGUGAUGGCAUUUUUAUACAGAGAGCUGAGUUCUAACUCUGCUUUGGCUGCAGGGGAUAAUGCAGUAAGAAGGCCCUUACCAGACCCUGAUACCUCAACGUUGGAUUUCCCAGUCUCCAGAACGGUAAGAAAUAAAUUUCUAUUGUUCAUAAAUUACUCAGUCUGUGAUAUUCUGUUAUAACAAUGCUAAACAAAUGAAGACAGAAACAGGUACCAGAAGUGGGGUGUUCUAGAAUCAAUUUCUAAAAAUGUGG